rnacentral:rRNA from 1 species
UACGGAGGGAGCUAGCGUUGUUCGGAAUUACUGGGCGUAAAGGGCGCGUAGGCGGCCUGCUAAGUCACACGUGAAAUCCCUCGGCUCAACCGGGGAACUGCGUGUGAUACUGGCGGGCUUGAAUUCGGGAGAGGGAUGUGGAAUUCCAGGUGUAGCGGUGAAAUGCGUAGAUAUCUGGAGGAACACCGGUGGCGAAGGCGGCAUCCUGGACCGAGAUUGACGCUGAGGCGCGAAAGCUAGGGGAGCAAACGGG